rnacentral:ncRNA from 1 species
GGGACACGCGGAGGCAGUGACACCCAGGGGACGCUCGGUCGCCCAGCGAUGAAACAGCGUCGCACCCCUUGGGAAGAGCCAGUGGCGAGACCGGCCGUUCGCAUC